AUUGAACGCUAGCGGGAUGCCUUACACAUGCAAGUCGAACGGAGUGGCGAACGGGUGAGUAAUGUAUCGGAACGUGCCCCGUAGCGGGGGAUAACUACGCGAAAGCGUAGCUAAUACCGCACACUAUUGGCGCGGCCGACCUCGGAUUAGCUAGCUGGUGGGGUAACGGCUCACCAAGGCGACGAUCCGUAGCUGGUUUGAGAGGACGACCAGCCCGACUGGGGCUGAGAGACGGGCCAGACUCCUACGGGAGGCAGCAGUGGGGAAUUUUGGGCAAUGGGGGAAACCCUGGUCCAGCCAUCCCGGGUGUGCGAUGAAGGCCUUCGGGUUGUAGAGCACGUUUGGCAGGGAAGCGGUACCUGCAGAAUAAGCACCGGCUAACUACGUGCCAGCAGCCGCGGUAAUUC
rnacentral:rRNA from 1 species